GCUGUCCUUCUUUCACAAUCACUGGAAAUCCUUCACUAGUGAAUCCCAGUUUCACAGGAGCACCCGUCUUCUAUCCGACAGCCCAAGUCAUGCAAAAAGGGGGAAAAUACACAGCAGGUCCUACCUACAGUCUGCCUUCUGGCUGGCGGCUAUUGCAAGAAUACAGAGUGGCCCAAUCUGGACCUGCAGAGUUAACAUGUCCCUCCCGCCUGCCCCUCCUGUGAGUCUUAUCUUUAGGCAUUUGGCUCAAGGCCUGGAGAACUUGUCUGGCACAGUCAGACCCAGGACGUUGGGGACACACGGAGCCUGGGGAGGAGCAGCUUCUGCAGGGCGCUCCCCACCCCGCGGUGGGAAUGCUGCAGACUUGACAGCCCGCCUUUGGGAAAGGGCCAGCCACCACGCCACCCUGCUGCAGGGCCCCGGGCUUCCCAAGGUGGAGGUGACGCUGGCCAGGGGCGGGGCAAGCGACAGGUGUCCCCACUCACCUCCUGCCACUGCUCGGCCCUCCAGGUGAAGCGCGGGCACGGCGGGCCCUGGCAGACGCGCUCAGACGCGGGUCGCAGGAAGGGGUCGCACUGGGUGUCGCGCGCUGGUCUGUGCGUCCCGAUCUGACAGCUCACGCGCCUCUGCUGCAUGCCGGGGCCACAGGACGCCGAGCACUGGGAAGACAGAGGACGUAAACAUUUCGCUGUUUGUGCCCUCGACCACAAGACACAGAGCACUGCAACAUAAAGCAACGGCAAGGUUGUUGUUGAAUCACAUGGAGGUGGUAAAGCCUGCCUGAGAGACAUCAAGGUCAAGAGCGCGUCUAACCAGAGUCACCAUGCCCUCCUUUUCCAGAGCCACUUUGGAUCCUAUCUCAAGGCUCCACUGGGAAUACAGAGAAAAAGCUCCCAUGUCUCCAGUCCAUUGGGAGGAGAUGCAAAAGGCCAAUGGAAAACCGGAAGAUGCAGUAGCAGAUUAGGUUUCUCAGAAAGGUUCAGGAAUCAAAGUGCCCACGGAGUCUGGACAAAGAUCUGAUCUGACAGCUUCUGUGGACCAGGCAAGAGGCUGGCCCUAAUCAGCGCACCGAGACAGUCAACGUCCACCGCCUCAUUAGCGGUUCCAGAAGUCAUUACCGCUGGAUCCUAAGCUGCUGGCUCAGCCUCCAGAGCUGCUGGGAUGACAGGCGUGGGCCACCAUACUCGGCGACAAUUUCUUAAUCAUUAAGAAGCCAGCAAAUAACCCCGUGUGUUUGGGUGAGAAGACCUGGAGACUUAAAGAGAACAAGAUCCCCAAGGAUACUGCUGAGGCCUGGGACCUCACCAUGAAGAUGGAGUCACACACAGAGUUGAUGAUACCAAUACGGGGACCUCUCAUCAACAAACAGAAAACUAAGGGAAGACAUGGAAACCAUUUCAGGAGCCCUCCCUCCUGCUGGCUGCGGGAGUGUCUCUGAAAAUUGUGUCUGGAGGACAGGGAGGGGCAGGGGCGAGACGCCCCCAGGAUCCUGACUCUCAGCUGUUCCAAAGGUCUCCCCUUACUCUAGAACAUAAGCUUGAUGAAUUCAAGUUUUUCUGUGUGUGUGUUUAUUCAAUUGACGGUGCCCGGUGUAUGGAAACGCUCGACUAAUGUAAUUCACAAACAAAUGCAUCCAAUAAUAGUCUAAUAGAACCUAAAGCCACUUAUCCCACCAUAAUACAUAAGGACGAAGUAAAGAUUCCGCCCAAUGCACCAUUUAUCCUAAAGACCAGUGCUACAGCACCUUGCUCCUCUCCCUGAAGAAUCUGACCACCGCCACCACCAUCUGCAAAAAUCUCCUAAGUGGCUCUAAUCAAAUCUGAUCUGUCCACCUAAUUACCUAGAUACCUACUGGGAAGCAUUCAGAUUUAUUUUCUUGAUUUUUUUUCUGUUUCUCUUCAUAUAUUAAAAUGUCAGAAAUAACAACCCAAAGGGUGCUUAAUAAAUACUGGAUGAGUUUCUCUUGAAA